rnacentral:rRNA from 1 species
UACGUAGGGUGCAAGCGUUAAUCGGAAUUACUGGGCGUAAGGCGUGCGCAGGCGGCUUUGCAAGACAGAUGUGAAAUCCCCGGGCUUAACCUGGGAACUGCAUUUGUGACUGCAUGGCUAGAGUGCGGCAGAGGGGGAUGGAAUUCCGCGUGUAGCAGUGAAAUGCGUAGAUAUGCGGAGGAACACCGAUGGCGAAGGCAAUCCCCUGGGCCUGCACUGACGCUCAUGCACGAAAGCGUGGGGAGCAAACAGG